GCCUGUUUAGCUCAGUGGUAGAGCGCGCCACUCGUAGGAGCCAGCCCUGUACAGCUUUCCGCAAUGGUGAGGUCGGUUGUUCAAUCCAGCCAAUGGGCA